rnacentral:rRNA from 1 species
ACCCUUUAAUGUUUGAUGUUCUAACGUGGACCCGUUACCCGGGUUGCGGACAGUGUCUGGUGGGUAGUUUGACUGGGGCGGUCUCCUCCUAAAGAGUAACGGAGGAGCACGAAGGUUGGCUAAUCCUGGUCGGACAUCAGGAGGUUAGUGCAAUGGCAUAAGCCAGCUUGACUGCGAGCGUGACGGCGCGAGCAGGUGCGAAAGCAGGUCAUAGUGAUCCGGUGGUUCUGAAUGGAAGGGCCAUCGCUCAACGGAUAAAAGGUACUCCGGGGAUAACAGGCUGAUACCGCCCAAGAGUUCAUAUCGACGGCGGUGUUUGGCACCUCGAUGUCGGCUCAUCACAUCCUGGGGCUGAAGUAGGUCCCAAGGGUAUGGCUGUUCGCCAUUUAAAGUGGUACGCGAGCUGGGUUUAGAACGUCGUGAGACAGUUCGGUCCCUAUCUGCCGUGGGCGCUGGAGAACUGAGGGGGGCUGCUCCUAGUACGAGAGGACCGGAGUGGACGCAUCACUGGUGUUCGGGUUGUCAUGCCAAUGGCACUGCCCGGUAGCUAAAUGCGGAAGAGAUAAGUGCUGAAAGCAUCUAAGCACGAAACUUGCCCCGAGAUGAGUUCUCCCUGAGACUUAGAGUCUCCUGAAG